GUCGGUCGACUUGUUGGAGCGCGUGCGCUUGCCCUUUGUGGGCUUGCCCCAUGGC
rnacentral:sRNA from 1 species